ACGUAGGGGGCAAGCGUUAUCCGGAAUUAUUGGGCGUAAAGAGUGCGUAGGUGGUUUUUUAAGCGUGAGGUGAAAGGCAAUAGCUUAACUAUUGUAAGCCUUGCGAACUGGAAGACUUGAGUGCAGGAGAGGAAAGUGGAAUUCCUAGUGUAGCGGUGUAAUGCGUAGAUAUGAGGCGGAAGAACGAAGGCGUGGGCAACAUUCAGGGCUGUAACGGCGACUGCUGCGGCUAACUGUGUGCAUCAAACAU
rnacentral:rRNA from 1 species